CGCAGCCGCGGUAAUUCCAGCUCCAAUAGCGUAUAUUAAAGUUGUUGCAGUUAAAAAGCUCGUAGUUGAAUUUUGGGUCUGGCCGGGCGGUCCGCCCUCCGGGUGAGCACUGUUCCGACGCCGGGCCUAUCCUUCUGGUGAGUCGGCAUGUCCUUUGUUGGGUGUGUCGGAGAACCAGGACCAUUACCUUGAAAAAUUAGAGUGUUCAAAGCAGGCGUAUGCUCGGAUACAUUAGCAUGGAAUAAUGAAAUAGGACGCGUGGUGCUAUUUUGUUGGUUUCUAGAACCGCCGUAAUGAUUAAUAGGGAUAGUUGGGGGCUUAGUAUUCAAUUGUCAGAGGUGAAAUUCUUGGAUUUAUUGAAGACUAACUUCUGCGAAAGCAUUUGCCAAGGAUGUUUUCAUUAAUCAAGAACGAAAGUUAGGGGAUCGAAGACGAUCAGAUACCGUCGUAGUCUUAACCAUAAACUAUGCCGACUAGGAAUCGGGCGAUGUUAUUC
rnacentral:rRNA from 1 species